CACAACAAAAAAUGAUAUUUUUACAUGAAAAUCGCCGCUAUAGAUUCUAUACAUGAAAACCGUCGCUUUUUGUCCAAUAUACCUCCUUCAUACAUACCUAAAACAUGUCCAUCGCUCCACCCUAGCUUCAAGGAAUUGAAGAGGAAUGGGAAAACUGGGUAAGAAUACCACCAGCCAUCUUCGCUAGAUUUUCCAUAUUCAUCUGCCAUGAAGAAAAAUAGAGAUGACGAGUACCAGUAAAAAAUAAGGGGAAAAAUAAAAAUAAAAUCGUUAUCCUAUCGGGAAAAAAAGGUGAAAUAAAACUGUUAUCCUAUCAGGGAAAAAAGUGGUGCAAGUUCUCAUAUGCUAAAUUAAAAGAAGAGAGUAAAAUAAGUUCCUAGGGUUCUCUUUGACAACACAUGGGAGAUGGUGGGUUUUAAAAAAUGUGUCCAUAUGUGAUAGGCAAAUGCACUCACACCCUCUUAAUUUAGACAUAGUAUAGCUAGAAAAAAUCCAUCCUUAGUGUACCAUCAGUGCAACAAAACAAUAUUUAGUGACUGAACAGAAAGAACAAAUAAAACAUAAAACCACAUGAAGCUUUGAUGAUAUUCGAAGGAAACUGAUAUUUCCACACGAGUCUCUCACAUGGAGGUGGGACCACUCACUAUUCAGGUGAGAGGGAUUAUGUGAAAAUAUAAAUUUUUUAUGUGGAAAUAUCAGUUCCCUAUUUGAAACUCAAAAAUAACCCCAGAGAGGAAAAAAUCAAUAUGUAAAACUAACCACAAUAACUUCUGGAAUUUAUAUCAGCUCCAAUCUAGAGCAAUAAUGUAACAAUGGAUUAAACACAAGUAGAUAAGGUGGAUAUAGGUUUACCUCAUUACGACCAUUAACAGCGGCGUAGUGAAGAGGAGAGUAAAGGACGCAAAAACACGGUACAUCCGGUAAGGCAAGGAAUCAAGAAGCAGCUUUGACACCAAGCACUCGAAAUAUUUCCCUAUAAAACUUAAUUUCAAAUAAGUACUAUGACUGAGCUCAUUGAUCAAAUUAAGUCAUUUCUCCCUUUGGAUUUACAAUGACACCAGCAGUGUCUGCAAAUGGAACAAAGUUAUAGAUUAAUAACAAUGAAAAGAACAUGUAGAUAUAGGCAAAGAGACGAGACAAUUUUCUAAUUUAUCUACAAAAAGAAAUAUAUUUACAGAAAAGGAAGUAUCUUUCCAACAAAUUACAAUAUUAAAGACAGAAUAGUUAAUUUAAGACAGUAAUUCCUUAUUACCACGACAUUUUGUUGAGCUUUUUUCCUUAAUCUUAUGCAGAUAAUUACAUGACUAUUGACAGUCCCAAUAUUUAAGUGCUUUCUUCAAAAAACUGAUUCCAGCAAUGAAUAAAGAAUUAACUGGCACACUUGAGAUGCAACACCACAUCAAUCUUCUCUAAAAUAGAGAACAAUAUAGAACAAGUAAUCCAGUAUUUCAACAUGAUACUGCUAUAUAUAGGAAAGAUAACACAGUGAAUGUAAGAUAUAAUUGGAGCAGAUGCUUGAAAAGCGUCGGCAUAUCUGUAACAUUAGAUACUUGUCACUUUUCCAGAUUAGUAACCGUAUCAACCAUGGAUAUGGAGUAUACAACUGACUUAAAUCUGGAUAUAAUGAUUUGGCAGGACCACACAUCUUCAAUAAAUAUUCACAUCAAAGAAUUCAAAUGCUAUAUGCUAUAAAGCAUAGUUAUAAACUCACGAGAACUGCCAAGUUUCAAAAAUAAUAAAUGCAAAAACAGUUAAAACUUGAGCAGAACUAUCUGAAUCUUCAAAGAAGAGAGCUAAAGAGAUGGCAAUGGUUCCUUAAACAUUAGAUUUCCUAACAACAAUAGCAAUUUCAUGUACAAACAAGCAAAAUCAACAUUUGACUAAAUAAUGUAUCGGAUUGUGGCAGGCGGGAUUCAGAAAGGAGAUCCAGCUUGAUAUAUAUCUGAUUUUUAACUUUAAUAUGGCUUAUAUCAGGAUGUAUCAUAUCAUUACACUUGUAUACUCAACAAGUUGAUGGGAUACACAUGCAUCAAGACAUGCCUUAACCAGCUUAAACUAUUAAUCUAAUCAGUAACAAAGUUGAAGAUACUACAAGGUUCGUAGGUCCAAGAAUGUAUAUAAAAGGAAUAAAUAAGAAUUAAAGCCUCCACUCAAACUAAUGGUAUUAUACAGAAAAUACAAAGGUAUUUAUUUUUAAAAAAAAAGCAACUUCCUUUUCAAAGAAUUUAUAAAGUAGGGACUGAUGAGAAAUAAGGGCCAUAUUUAGACACAUGACUUAAUAAUGGCCCAAAGGGGCUUACAUAACCAAGUUACAAAAGGAUAAAAACAACUGAUUAAAUUUGGAAAGAACACAGGUUAUGUUGCUGCAGGGUAUUAUAUGAUAUAACAACUGAUUAAAUUUGGAAACACUUGUUAGUUCUGCUUGUGUCAAGCAAAUUUAUACCAACAUACAUCACAUUACAAAAAUUCCCUCAAAAAAGAAAAGAUUGAAUCUAAGCCAAAAAGAAAAGUAAUAUUCCAGCCUCAACAGGGGUGAAAAACUGGAAUUUUAUCUAGCUGGGUAUGGGAGGUGAGGAGAAACCUUCAUUAAAAAAAUUCUCAGCACCACAUCACCAGAAAAACCAACUACAGAAAAGUUAAAAGUCGUAAUAUCCAUGAAAUUUAUGAAUAAUAUUAAUAAUUAAAUUAAUAAAGGUUGAAUAUUUAUUUGAAUAUAAAUAUAUAUUUUAGUGGCAUGAGAUGUGAUAAUUCAAAUUAAAUUGAAUUAAGUGCGAGAUAAUCAAGAAAUGUGGUGGAAAUGAUAAUGAAGCUUAUUUAAGCUUAUGACCUAGUGUAGCAAAGUGAUGAAAUAAGUAAUUUAUUAAUUAAAUUAAUAAAGGGAAUAAUUAAAUAAGGUGAUGGAUGCUACCUAGGUCAUAAUCUGCUACCUAGUAUUUUACAAAAUUAAUACAUACAUCAAACUAGCAUAUUAGGACCGCAAACCGGAUGCCUAGAUAAGCGUGCGCGAACUGUUUCCAGAGUGGAAAAAUUUCUGGAAAUCCCAGAAUCUGCAGAUUUUUCCUUAUGAACAUGCUUGCUACCGAAUUUCAUAUCUUGCUUAAUUUAACUCCGUUUCUUAUGAAAUUUGGUCUGGUUAUACAUCAUACUACAUAGUAUUUUACAAAAUUAUUACCUACCAUAAUCGGGUCACAGAAACCAUGAUUCCAAGGCUCCGAAAAACCCGAAAAGUCACAUAUUUCAAGUUUUAACCAACUUUGACAAAAUUCAUGAUUUCGAUUCUAGCAUGCAUGGAAUUAGUUCCUAUGUCCAGAUCAUAAAUACUCAUAUAAAUACACAUGUUACAACAAUUGAACUUACUAAAUUUCCAUGAUAUGAUCAAAUUAUCAUCAUUGAGUCAUAUUAUCAAAUAUUUGGCAUGCAUGACAUAAUUUCUUGAUUCUCUACGAUAUUAAGGCAUGAUUAAACCAGAACUUUCGUUCUUACAUCCACAUAACAUCAACUAACAGUAGCAUGGCAUCACAAGGUCCAAAAAUAAUCGUUUGCAAAAAAAUCACAUAAGCAUAUUCUCUCAUUUUUAUUAAAGAACAUGGAAGAGAGAGUUCAUGGCUACCUCUUUGGUGAAUUCUUCUUGCUCGAACUAAGCUCCUCCAACGUUUCUCCUUGCUUGAUUAGUCUAACUCUAGAAUUCGCCACCCUCUCAAGCUCCUUCCUCUCUCACUCUCAACUUCGGAAGACGAGCUUGGAUAGGUAGUAUAUAUAAACAUGAUAACCAUUGUUUUUUUUCAGCCCUUCUAUCUCCAACAUCAAUUAUAUUUAUUAAGUAUAUUGUAUAAAUUCAAUUUAGCAUGGGUGGGGGUUAGAGAAAGGAAGAGUCUUGCAAUUGUAAAGGGUUUGUAACUCCCUCCCCCCUCAUUACCUUAUAAUAUGAAUACUCCCUCUCUUGUCCCAAUUUGGUUGUCACGUGGGCCCCACAUCUGCUGCACUUCUUUAUUAAAAUAUUAAUAUAAUCAAUUUAAUCGCUUAAUACACUAUUUUGACCAUUUUGCCCUUCGUAGCCAAAAAUUUCGAUACCAAUAUCGAUUGUGUCAGACCGCGAUUCACAGCAAGUUUCUGGAAAAGUUUUCAAGAACGCAACUGAGGUUGAGCACCGCGUAUCAUCCUCAAACAGAUGGGCAGAGCGAGAGAACUAUUCAAACGUUGGAAGACAUGCUGAGAGCAUGUGUUAUGGACUUCAAAGGAAGCUGGGAUGACCACCUACCAUUGGUGGAAUUUGCAUACAACAACAGUUAUCACGCGAGCAUCGGUAUGCCACCUUAUGAAGCUUUAUAUGGAAGGAAAUGCAGAACGCCAUUGUGCUGGGAUGAAGUAGGAGAACGUCAAUUGCUAGGGCCAGAAUUGGUGCAGCAAACUGCGGAUGUGAUCAAAACGAUACGUGCAAGAUUAGUGACGGCUCAAGAUCGACAGAAGAAAUAUGCUGAUCAACAUUGACAACAACGAGACUUCGAUGUCGGCACUUGUGUGUUUCUAAAGGUUUCACCUUGGAAAGGGAAAAUGAGAUUUGGGAAGGGAAAACUUAGUCUCAAAUUCAUAGGACCCUUUGAAGUGUUAAGACGAGUCGGUGAGGUAGCUUAUGAAAUAGCUUUACCUCCGGAAUUAGAGCAUGUACAUAAUGUGUUCCACGUAUCGGUUCUACGACCCUAUAAGCAAGACUACAAGCAUGUCAUAGAGUAUGAACCCAUCUAGUUUGAAAAGGACUUAACCUAUGAAGAGGUUAAAGAGGUUCCUGUACAGAUAAUUGAUAGAAAAGAACAAGUGUUACAAAAUAAAAUAAUACCUUCUGUUAAGGUAGUAUGGAGGAACCACAACGCCGAGGAGGCUACGUUGGAACUCGGGGAGAAAAUGAUGAAAAAUUACCCUAGUCUUUUUGUUUAACUUGUAAUGAUUCCGGGGACGGAAUUCUUUUAAGGGAGGGUGAAUGUAAUAUCCGAAAUUAUUAUGUAAUUUACUAAUUAUCAAUAAAUGAAUUUAUGUGAAACUCUUGUGUGAUUUCUAUUAUUAGAUGUAUAUGUGUUAUACGUACAUGUUUAAUUUUAAGUUUAUGUGAUGAGGUAUGCGUAAAUAGUUGGUUUAGAUUAAUUUAACUAUUUGAGUUGGUUAUGUAAAUAAAGUGAUUAAUUGCGUGGGAGGGGAUUAAAACAUGAGAUGGAUUUCGGAGCAGAAUUUAGGGACGUGAACUGCGUAUUUGAGUCCGGAACGUCGAAAUUAGUCAAGAUAGACUGUAACCACAAAAUGUGUCGCGGUUAACUUUUUGGUCAAAGUCAACCACGAAUUUUGGGGGGCUAAUUUGACGAAACGGAUAGUCCCAUGACGUUCGGAACGUCGAUUUAGUAGGAAUCAAUAUUGGUAUCGAAACGUUUGGCUACGGAGGUCAAAAUGGUCAAAAUAGUGUAUUAAGCGAUUAAAUUGAUUAUAUUAAUAUUUUAAUAAAGAAGUGCAGCAAAUGUGGGGGCCACGUGACAAUCAAAUUGGGACAAGAGAGGGAGUAUUCAUAUUAUAAGGUAAUGAGGGGGGAGGGAGUUACAAACCCUUUACAAAUCCAAGACUCUUCCUUUCUCUAACCCCCACCCCAUACUAAAUUGAAUUUAUACAAUAUACUUAAUACAUAUAAUUGAUGUUAGAGAUAGAAGGGCUGGAAAAAAAACAAUGGUUAUCAUGUUUAUAUAUACUACCUAUCCAAGCUCUUCUUCCUCUUUGUAAAAAUCCUACCGUGAGUGAAGUUCAGAGUGAGAGGAAGGAGCUUGAGAGGGUGGCAAAUUCUGGAGUUUUCAGAGACUAAUCAAGCAAGGAGAAUCAUUGGAGGAGCUUAGUUCGAGCAAGAAGAAUUCACCAAAGAGGUAAGCCAUGAACUCUCUUUUCCAUGCUCUUUAGUAAAAAUGAGAGAAUAUGCUUAUGUGAUUUUUUAGCAAACGAUUUCUUUUGGACCUUGUGAUGUCAUGCUACCGUUAGUUGAUGUUAUGUGGAUGUAAGAACGAAAGUUCUGGUUUAAUCAUGCCUCAAUAUCGUAGAGAAUCAAGAAAUUAUGUCAUGAAUGCCAAAUAUUUGAUAAUAUGACUCAAUGAUGAUAAUUUGAUCAUAUCAUGGAAAUUUAGUGAGUUCAAUUGUUGUAACAUGUGUAUUUAUAUGAGUAUAUAUGAUCUGGACAGUAGGAACUAAUUCCUUGCAUGCUAGAAUCGAAAUCAUGAAUUUUGUCAAAGUUGGUUAAAACUUGAAAUCUGUGACUUCGGGUUUUUCGGAGCCUUGGAAUUAUGGUUUCUGUGACCCGAUUAUGGUAGGUAAUAAUUUUGUAAAAUACUAUGUAGUAUGAUGUAUAACCAGACCAAAUUUCAUAAGAAACGGAGUUAAAUUGAGCAAGAUAUGAAAUUCGGUAGCAAGCAUGUUCAUAAGUAAAAAUCUGCAGAUUCUGGGAUUUCCAGAAAUUUUUCUAACUCUGGAAACAGUCUGCGCACGCUUAUCUAGGCAUCCAGUUUGUGGUCUUAAUCUGCUAGUUUGAUGUAUGUACUAAUUUUGUAAAAUACUAGGUAGCAUGAUGUCUAACCUGACCAAGUUUGAAUGUAAUCCGAAUUAAAACGAGCAAGAUAUGAAUUUUGGGAACUAGCAAGAAAAUAAUCAAAAUCUGGAAAACCCAGAAAAUUUUCUUACUCUGGAAACAGUCCGCACAUGCUUAUCUAUGCAAUUGGUUUGUGGUCUUAGCAUGCUAGUUUCAUGAAUGUUAUAUUUUUGUAAAAUAGCUUGUUGUAUGAAGUUUAUUGUGUCCAAGUAUCAUGAUCAUAUCAUCUGUAGAUUAGUGUGAAUAAAAGCGCAAAAGUGGCUGCAAGAAACGAAAAUUUCAAUGUCAGGUCGGAAAAAAAAAAUCUUUUUUUCUCAGGUUCUAAAAUUGUACAAUUCUACUUAUAUGAUGCGACACGUUAUGUGACUAAUUUGUAUUGAUAAUAGAAUGAGAAUUAAAUAUAUAUUCUAAUUGAAAUGAAAAGAAUCAUUUAUCCUUAAAACUAGUAUUUAUACUUAAUUGCUUAAUGUGACUUAAAUGAAUAGGUUACGUGAAGAACUAGUACAUAGCUUUAAUUAUAGAAGACUUAUUAGGCAAGUUUCUUGACUCUAUUUUUUUUCCAAUGAGCAAGUUUCUAAACUUUACUCUUUUAAUUGAGUAAAUAUUAUAUCCUUAUUCAGUGAUCGUGAGUUUCUUAACUUGUGCUAUUUAUUAAUAUGUACAAGUUUCUUAUGACGUAAGUUAUACAAAUUCACUGUACAAGCUUUAUUGAUGAUUACUCAAUUGUUAUUUCAAUCGUUAUGCUUUAAAGUUCUUAAUUAUUUAUGAACUGCUUUCAAGUAUGCUUUCUGGCCUUUUGCUCCGGCUAGACAUUAUUGAUGUGAAACGUUAUAUUAUUUGAAUUAUUCAGAUUCAUUAUAGUUAAUUAAAGUCUACCAAUCCAAAUUAUUUUGGUGCGGUCCCGCAUGAAUACUAAGAUGAACAACCCGGAUAACGGGGUAAAACUGACGUCGGGCAUAUAGUCCCAUUUACGCUUAUGCGUUUAAACUUUAUACUUGUGCACAAUGUAGGGUACGAUAGGCUGAUCACCUGGAGUACUUGCAGAGACUGUUUACAAUCUAUUUGAUUGUUAAACCGUCUGAUUUUUUCGAUGAAACAAAGUAAUGUUUAGGGUAUCUAGCACCCCUUAGUAUGCUAUUGAGAAUUCCAGAACUCUUAUCUUGAUAUUCCUGUUUAUCUCUUGAUAAUUAUUUCAACUGUUGAGAAAUAUUCAUACAAAUGCUUUUACUCCUGAUGUAUGUUCUCAAACUACUUUAUAUACUUGUUGGGCAAUUUGUGUUCAUUCUUGCUUAAACCUUUCAAUUAAGGCUGAUAAUGCUAAGGGCUCGGGCAAGGACAAGGGAAAAUCUAAGAUGAAAUGAUGAGUUAUUUAUGUAAUAAGUUAUAUUUCUGCAUAUGAUGUAAUGUAGCGAUAAACGCUAAGUUAAAAUUUCAAUUUAUUUAAGGUUGUAAAGACUUGGGAUUUUAUUUAAAUAGAUAUGUAAUAGAUAUUAUUAUUAUUAUUAUUUCCGGAGUUUAUAUAGUUAGAUGGUUAUGUAUGUGUAUCGUGAACACCAUGUCCUGUAAUCGAUCUUACACGGAUUUGGGGGCGUCACAGUCGCACCACUUCCCAGUACAAACUCAGCGUGGCCACGCCGUCUACCAGUCUUGAAAACCAAUUUUGGUUGCCUUCUGAUAUUCUGAGCAUGUUAGUUUGACUUACUAAGUAUGUUAAUGGGUCAAACAUGUAAUUUAAAGUUAUUUUGCAUGUAAUGAGUUGCAUUAGCUUGGGUUAUAAUGAUUUUAAAAGGACAAACUUGAAGUUUUGAAAAACAAACCAUGAUGGACCUUGUGCUUUUAAGUUCUGAUCUUUCUAGCCUAUAUAUGUGGCUUAGUUAUGUGUACAAAUGAGUAUGAAAUAUGAUUCGUAGUCGCUUUGCAUAUUUAGUUCGGUUUAGCAUGGAUUUUAAAAAAGGAAAACUUAGGAAUUUGAAACUACGAUAGAUGAAACAUCGAGUUACAUGUAUUCUGACUUUUGAGCAUGUAUGAUAGAACUCCUUAUACCUCUAAACAGGACUAAUAUGUACACCCAACUAGUUAAGCAUGAUAUAGACUAUAUAAGCAUGUUUUAAAGUAAGUUCUCAAAUGAUGGACUAUACUAACUAUGUGCAAAUGAAUUAAACGCAUGCUAGCAUGCGUAGUGAAGGUUGUUUAGCAGCAUUAUGUGGUUUAAUGGCUAGUGUAGCUAGUCCUUGAUGCCAAUGUUCAAAAAAGAUAAAAGCGGUACGAGGCGUUUUUCUCCGGACGAGGCGAGGCGUAAGCUUCGAGGCGGAGCGAGACGUAAGACUCGAUUUAAAAAUGAAAAAGUCUCCAAAAAAUUAUAAGACCAACAACAUUAACAUGAUGACCAAGAUCAAGACCAAUUAAAUUUAUUUUGGCGUCAUUAGCAAUUCAUGUACACAAACACAAACAAAAAUUAAUGAAAAAACAGUCAAGCACUUGCAGUCAAGCACAAACAGUCAAGCAAUUUUUUGAAUCAGAUCUUUAUAUUUUCCAUCUUUGGCAAGAUCUUUCGUCUCAUCAAAUCAUAUUUCAGUAAGAGAGAUCAUAUAACACCCGUUCUUCUACAUGCCCCAAGUCAAGCCCCAGUACAUCACGAAUCAUUAAGAGUGUGAAAAGGUAUUUAAAAAAAUAGGAAAUACAGCAGGCCGUACCAAACUCCAAAAUGUUACUUAAAAAUUCAAAUUUCACAACUCCAGAAAAUUCUUAUGCUUAAUAUAAUUUUAAAGCACAUCAAGUUAAUGCCAAUAUUUGAGUACUUUGUACAUCCUAGGUAUACCUUUAAUAAUUUUUUGAAGAGUACUCCAAACGAAAAAUUAAUAGGUAUGAUUCCAUUUCAAGACAAAUUAACUUGCUCACAAGACAGUACAUAGGAAGUAAAUAAAUAAAAAAUCAAGAACGGGAAAAAAAAAAUUAACCAGCUAAAAACAGAAUACAAACUUAACCAGCUGAAAGCUGAAAACAGAGGACUACAUUGUUCGAAAAAGAAAAAAACAGAAGACUAUACUGUAACAUAAGAAGACUACACUAUAACAGAGGACUACACUGUCACUUAGCAAACGGAAAAAAAAGAAGCAUAAAACAGAGAGGAAGAAGAAGAAGUCGGUCGAAGAAGAAGUCGCCAAGUCAGUCGACGGAGGAAGAAAGAAAAGAAAGAAGAAGAAGAAGAAGAAGAAGAAGAAGAAGAUACCUGGAGAAGGCUGAGCCAUCGCAGAAGAAGUUGAAGAAGUCGUCCUUGAAGCAGUCGGUCGAAGCCAAUGAAGUCGUCGAAGCCAAA
rnacentral:lncRNA from 1 species